GAUGAACGCUGGCGGCGUGCCUAAUACAUGCAAGUCGAGCGAACAGACGAGGAGCUUGCUCCUCUGACGUUAGCGGCGGACGGGUGAGUAACACGUGGAUAACCUACCUAUAAGACUGGGAUAACUUCGGGAAACCGGAGCUAAUACCGGAUAAUAUAUUGAACCACAUGGUUCAAUAGUGAAAGACGGUUUUGCUGUCACUUAUAGAUGGAUCCGCGCCGCAUUAGCUAGUUGGUAAGGUAACGGCUUACCAAGGCAACGAUGCGUAGCCGACCUGAGAGGGUGAUCGGCCACACUGGAACUGAGACACGGUCCAGACUCCUACGGGAGGCAGCAGUAGGGAAUCUUCCGCAAUGGGCGAAAGGCUGACGGAGCAACGCCGCGUGAGUGAUGAAGGUCUUCGGAUCGUAAAACUCUGUUAUUAGGGAAGAACAAAUGUGUAAGUAACUAUGCACGUCUUGACGGUACCUAAUCAGAAAGCCACGGCUAACUACGUG
rnacentral:rRNA from 1 species